UGAAUCCGCGCGGGAGAGUCCUGGGUACGUGUACCCGGGCGCCGAAGGAGCAAGUCCCUCCCUUGAAUCUCUCAGGCCCCGUUACCGCGCGGGCGAG
rnacentral:ncRNA from 2 species